AGUGAACGCUGGCGGUAGGCCUAACACAUGCAAGUCGAACGGCAGCACAGUAAGAGCUUGCUCUUACGGGUGGCGAGUGGCGGACGGGUGAGGAAUACAUCGGAAUCUACUUUUUCGUGGGGGAUAACGUAGGGAAACUUACGCUAAUACCGCAUACGACCUACGGGUGAAAGCAGGGGAUCUUCGGACCUUGCGCGAUUGAAUGAGCCGAUGUCGGAUUAGCUAGUUGGCGGGGUAAAGGCCCACCAAGGCGACGAUCCGUAGCUGGUCUGAGAGGAUGAUCAGCCACCCUUGAACUUAGACACGGUCCAGACUCCUACGGGAGGCCGCCGUGGGGAAUAUUGGACCAUGGGCCCAAGCCCGAUCCCGCCCUACCGCGUGGGUGAAGGAGGCCUUCGGGUUGUAAAGCCCUUUUGUUGGGAAAGAAAAGCCGCAGGUUUAUACCCCGCUGUUCUGACGGUACCCAAAGAAUAAGCACCGGCUAACUUCGUG
rnacentral:rRNA from 1 species